UGGGCUGGAAUUAUGCUUUAUUUGACACGCUCUAAGGCUCAAACUACGAGGGAACUUUGCGGGGUCUUACAAUAUCUCCCCCUGGAAACAUUUCUCCUCGAAUGUCGCUAGUUAGAUGAAGGACAUAGGAAGAACAUAGCACACAUAGCUGAAAUAAUUUCUAAAUAGCUCAAGACCUUUCUAAACUCAUGAAUACUCCGAACAAUGCAAGAACUCAUACAAGGAUAG
rnacentral:lncRNA from 1 species